UGUAGUAGUGUGCCCACCCCUGGUUGGAAACAAUACAUGAUUUCCAACAGGAAUUAUUGUGUUCUUUUCUUUUGAUAAAAGAGCUCCAGCAUUCCGGGAAUUAACGACUUGAUGGUAUAACAGUCUGGUUUUGCUUGAGUCAUUUCAAUCAAUUCAAUCAGAACUUUAUCUUUCUGGUUCCUGAGGAUCACAACAAUGGAGCAACCUACAGGGCACAGCAGACCCUCUUUCUCCAGAGCUCGGAGAUCCAUAAGCCUGCCACCAGGAUGAGCUCCUCCCCGAGGUCGGCCACCGCAGGGUCCUGCUCCACUGUAAACAGCUUCCCAUCAGGCGGUAGCAGACGCAGGAAAAGCACUGAGGUGUAGCCGCAAUGCAUUCCGAGUUCGAGCACCUUCGAGGGCUGGACGCGCUUAACCACCUGGUUUAAGGCCUCACCUGUACAUAGAAUAAUUGUGAGGCCUACCACUAUAUUUCAGUUUGAACAGGCACACACUGACCUAUCUGCGGGCCAACCGCGGCAGAGGCAUGGGUCUCUGCGUACACGUCAAAGGCCUCCAGGACGCUGCUAGCAUUGCCGUGGGUGCACCGUGAAAAGACAAAGGCGUGCGUGCUCUUUGCGCAGACUUGUCCUUGCAACAGCCGCAAGAUCCAAGAGAGUGCGACAUGACACAACUGGGCCGCACGGGCACGGUGGUGACCCAACGCCAGCAUGAUGGCAGGAAGAAGCGGCAGAGACGCCACCAUCAUCCAAUAGGACAUUUUGCUGAGUUUCUGCAAUGUUUUGAAGGCUUCAAAACAAAACAAAAACAGAAAUUGAAUCAUAAUGAAAAUAUGACAUAUUGUGGAAACGUGAGUUUUUAAUGACUUGUGUGCAAAUAUACUAGUAGUGUUUCCUUGUUGUAUUCGAAAUAUGCCAUUGUCCUUUUAUAUCACACUUUUCUGUUAGCAAGAUGAGAAGUUUGUUUAAUCAUGUUGCAAAGUGCUGAAAAUGUUAGUUAAUAUCACUGUUAAAAUAAGUCAUGCAAAAAUACUAUUAAAUAUUGCAAUAAAA